UGUGUAUAACACAAUUGAAAUAAGUUUCAAGAGAGAUAGUGGGAGUUUAGGGACCAUGACUAUUGUAGUCAAAUGGAGAAGUCAAAUGAAGAAGAUAAAUAACUCCAAGGGAACAAACUUUCUUUAUGAAAGGAUGGACAUUGGAAGGGGUAUUUGCAAGAAAUGUCUUGCAAGUGUCAAGAACACACCUUUCGAAGGUGUUGUAAAUUGUUCUUGAAAAGUUCAAAACAGUUGGUUCUUCUACUUGAAUGCUUGAUUUCGUAUUAGUAACUAUGUUUUACAAUCGUUGUAAAAGUGUGGCUAAUAAGAAGUAGAAGAUUAAUGAGAGAAGAGAAAGUACUUCACAUUCGGAACGUGAAUCAAAUGUAGAUCUCUGCGAAAGCAGAUCGUACUUACUUCCUCAUAUGAACUACCAAAGAAAUUGGAAAAACCAAAGAUUGUCUUUACAUUCCAAUUUUAAG
rnacentral:lncRNA from 1 species